rnacentral:rRNA from 1 species
UACGGAGGGUGCAAGCGUUGUCUGGAAUCACUGGGCGUAAAGGGCGCGUAGGCGGCUCAUGAAGGCUGUGGUGAAAGUCCGGGGCUCAACCUCGGAUCGGCCGUGGCGACUCGUGGGCUGGAGCACUGUAGAGGCGGGUGGAAUUCCGGGUGUAGCGGUGGAAUGCGUAGAGAUCCGGAAGAACACCAGUGGCGAAGGCGGCCCGCUGGGCAGUGGCUGACGCUGAGGCGCGACAGCGUGGGGAGCAAACAGG